AUGCCUUUUGAUAAAGCUAUAUACAUUUCAUCAUAACUACCAUAGAAAAAUUAUCAUAAAGGAGUUAUGAUAUAAU
rnacentral:sRNA from 1 species